GUUGCGUUCAAUCGCUCUAAACAAGGUGUAAACUUUCAUUUAAAAGGCUUCAUUCACAGGAGGAUCAUGUUUUGAUACAACAACUGUGUCAUCGUGUCAAAGUAGUAGCGCCCAAACUUGAUUCCUGUUCUAGUACGAAGGUAAUACGCGGACACAUGACACAAACACCCACCGCCAAUGCUAAGAUCAUCCACCACGGGUGUUGCGGAACGGUUGUCCACGCUGCAAACCAACCAUCACGAUGGUAGGCAGGAUUUUACGGACAAUCGUGCCGGGAUUCGAUCGCUCUCAUCGUUCUUCUUUUAAUUAUUGCCCCCGUAUCUUUGUUAAACCAUCGGUAAAGUAAAAUCAGUUACGCUUAAUCAGCGAACAAAAGUAUUUUUGUAACAUCCAUUUUAAGCACAGUUUAUGUCUGGUAUGAAAUCGAAAAUUUGCAGCCACCUUUAUCACUAGCAGCGCCAUUCACAAUGACGCGUUUGUAUCGCGGCUGAUUCCGAUUUUCCCUGCCACCAUUAACUGCAUUUGUUUUUGUUUUUGAAGAAAUAUUAUUUUAUCUGGCCUACCCUCGGCGAACCACCGACUUUAUGACCGUAGCUUACCGGUCAAAAGGAAGCAAAGGGAAGGGUAGAAACUCACAGAGACUUUGCGCUCCUAGAAGUUUCAUUCCCGGAAACUUUCGUUGCUGUGCGUUGCUCGCCGAAACACUUCGUUACCUGUCUACGCAUGCGUAUCCUCUUUUUCACCAUAUUUUUCCAUUCUUCAUUCUUACCAAAUAUUCGCGCCGGAUCAUAAAGAUCAAGAUUUUUAUCCUAUACAUUUGCACAAUCAAUGUAUCAUCUUUUCUGUUGUAAUUGAACUCUUCUGAUGAUUCUUUCUUUCUAUACUUGUUUAUUAACCAGAUUACACGUUUCAUUCAAAUUGUUGCUUUCCUAAUAGAAGGAUAAGCCAAAUAUCUUAUACCUUCUGAAGUACUUAAUUUCUUGUAUUUAACAUUUUUGAAUUCGUAACGCAAUGAUUUUUUAUCAGAAUUUAUACAUUUUUCAUCAUAUAUGUACAUGUAAUAAUGUACAACCCACACACAUUAUUUUAAACUUCAUAAUGUAGUCCUUAAAAGAUGUUCGUUGAUUUAACGUAUUACUAGGUAUAUACAAUCGACUUAAUUUUAACUAAUAAAUCAAGCUGUACUUUUUGAAAUUUUUUAAAUACGCAUCAUACAAACUAUCAAUUAUUUUACACAAGUCAGUGUAUUGUAUUUUUACAUUUUUUUUAAAUUUAAAUCAUUUAUAUCUUACAGUUAAAAAGUAUUUUCUAUUGAUUUCUUUUUUUUUCGUAUCAGUUACAAGGGCGCAAUUAGCAAUAUCAUUUGAAUAUAUAUUUCUUUACUUAUGAAUGAUAAUUACGAAUUGUUAUCUACACAGAAAAUUCAGAAAUUUGUACGUACAGAUGUAACAAUAACACGAUAAAAUUUAUACAACAGUAAGAUAUAUAUCGAAUGCUUUUUAUGAGGUGAUCUUUUAAAAUGCAUAAUACACUCGCACGCACUCAUACAGAGGUAACUUUUGGAAAAAAAAAAAAAUAUAAGCGGUCCGAAGCUUCCAGUGUAAAACAUUUAA